UUAUAUUUUGGUGGGGGCGAAAUAGGAUCGACGAGAGUGUAAAGAUUGCUCUUUUACUCGGCGUAGUACCACCGUUAUCGGACUAAAUGAGUAGUUGCGAAUGACAACUAUGCGGAAGCACGUAUCGCCGCUUAAUGUGGUGUGAAUGCUUCAAAUUAAGCCUUAACCUAUCGCAGG
rnacentral:tmRNA from 1 species